CUUGUAUACCUGUGUCACCACAAAUCUUAAAAGAUGCAAUUUUCUUGGCAGCUUCAUCCUCCUAAGAUGAAUUGGAGGGUGUGUAUGAAGGACAUGGUUCUAAUAAUCUCAGUGCUGGGGUGGUGGGAGGUGGAAGCCUGUGUGUUCACAGGAGAAAGCUGUUGCCAGAAGACCAUGAAAGAUGGACCCAUGGAGUGCCAGUAGCCCGGAGAUAGAAUUGUGUCUCCUCUGGCCCUCUGACUGGUCUCUGUCUGAAAGUACCAGCUUCUGCUUCUUGAACCGUCCCUCUCACACUGCUCCCUGUCUACGUACAGCUUUACCUUCUAACUCUCGGGGAGAAACAAAGUCACAACUUCAAAGAAGAUUCUUCUCAAGGCAAGCAAAAGCAUUAUCAAACUCUAGCCCGUCAAUUUGGGGGUCUUUUCUUGUGAUAGCUCUGUUGUGCCAGAUGGUUUCCUUUAUUUAAAAAAAAAACUGUAAGUGAAUUCUGCAUGGUCAGGUAUUGCCAUCUUUGCAGAGAAUUUCCUUUGCCUAAUGUCCUAUCUGAUGGGCCAUUCUGUUUGUUGUAUGCUACAUAAUCGCCACAAAUGCAUACUGUGGUCCAUAAAACUGCCACACUGCUUUCAGAAACUAGUAAUUCACAAAGUAAACCUGAGACAGUGCUGUUAAUAAACACAAAUUGCAAACAAGCCGGUGGUGAGGG
rnacentral:lncRNA from 1 species